rnacentral:snoRNA from 1 species
UCAGAGUGGUGCAUGAUGUCUCAUUCAGUGGGUCAUGCAUAUUUUACCUGAAUAUCGUGUUAUGCAUCAG